GAUGAACGCUGGCGGCGUGCCUAAUACAUGCAAGUCGAGCUAACAGACGAGGAGCUUGCUCCUCUGACGUUAGCGGCGGACGGGUGAGUAACACGUGGAUAACCUACCUAUAAGACUGGAAUAACUUCGGGAAACCGGAGCUAAUACCGGAUAAUAUAUUGAACCACAUGGUUCAAUAGUGAAAGACGGUUUUGCUGUCCCUUUUAGAUUGAUCCGCGCCGCAUUAGCUAGUUGGUAAGGUAACGGCUUACCAAGGCAACGAUGCGUAGCCGACGUGAGAGGGUGAUAGGCCACACUGGAACUGAGACACGGUCCAGACUCCUACGGGAGGCAGCAGUAGGGAAUCUUCCGCAAUGGGCGAAAGCCUGACGGAGCAACGCCGCGUGAGUGAUGAAGGUCUUCGGAUCGUAAAACUCUGUUAUUAGGGAAGAACAAAUGUGUAAGUAACUAUGCACGUCUUGACGGUACCUAAUCAGAAAGCCACGGCUAACUACGUG
rnacentral:rRNA from 1 species